AGGACGAACGCUGGCGGCGUGCUUAACACAUGCAAGUCGAGCGGAAAGGCCCUUCGGGGUACUCGAGCGGCGAACGGGUGAGUAACACGUGAGUAACCUGCCCUAGGCUUUGGGAUAACCCUCGGAAACGGGGGCUAAUACUGGAUAUUCCCGCGGGAUCGGCAUGGUUUUGUGGGGAAAGGUUUUUCCGGCUUGGGGAUGGGCUCGCGGCCUAGUCAGCUUGUUGGUGGGGUGAUGGCCUACCAAGGCGACGACGGGGUA
rnacentral:rRNA from 1 species